GUUGCCCGAGUAGCAGCGGGCUCGUGGAAUCUGCUGUGAAUCUGCCGGGACCACCCGGUAAGCCUAAAUACCUGCUUGUGACCGAUAGCGGAUUAGUACCGUGAGGGAAUGGUGAAAAGUACCCCGGGAGGGGAGUGAAAUAGUACCUGAAACCAUGUGCUUACAAUCCGUCAGAGCCCUUUUUUGUGGGGUGAUGGCGUGCCUUUUGAAGAAUGAGCCUGCGAGUCAGCGGCAUGUCGCGAGGUUAACCCGUUUGGUGGGGUAGUCGUAGCGAAAGCGAAUACUAACUAGUGUGUUGUCAGUGGCAUGUCCUGGACCCGAAGCGGGGUGAUCUACCCAUGGCCAGUGUGAAGCAGAGGUAAGACUCUGUGGAGGCGCGAACCCACUUAGGUUGAAAACUGAGGGGAUGAGUUGUGGGUAGGGGUGAAAGGCCAAUCAAACUCCGUGAUAGCUGGUUCUCCCCGAAAUGCAUUUAGGUGCAGCGUCGUGUGUUUCCUCCUGGAGGUAGAGCUACUGGUUGGUUUAGCGGGACUAUCAUCUUAGCGACAUCAGCCAAACUCCGAAUGCCAGGUUAGGUUAGAGCACGGCAGUGAGACUGCGGGGGAUAAGCUUCGUAGUCGAGAGGGAAACAGCCCAGAUCGCCGGCUAAGGCCCCUAAGGGUGUGCUAAGUGGAAAAGGAUGUGGGAUCGCGAAGACAACCAGGAGGUUGGCUUAGAAGCAGCCAUCCUUGAAAGAGUGCGUAAUAGCUCACUGGUCGAGUGGUUCUGCGCCGACAAUGUAGUGGGGCUCAAGUACACCGCCGAAGCCGCGGCAAUCACCUUUUUGGUGGUUGGGUAGGGGAGCGUCGCGUGACUGCUGUGAAGCGCUGGGGUAACCCUAGUGUGGAGUGUGCGCGAGUGAGAAUGCAGGCAUGAGUAGCGAAUGAGGAGUGGAAAACUCCUCCGCCGAAUGACUAAGGGUUCCUGGGCCAGGUUAAUCCUCCCAGGGUGAGUCGGGACCUAAGGCGAGGCCGACAGGCGUAGUCGAUGGAUAACGGGUUGAUAUUCCCGUACCCGUGUGUCCGCGCCCAUGGUGAAUCAGGGAUACUAACCCACCUGAACACGCGCCGUUUACUAGCCUUUUAGGUUGGUUGGUGUGUGUGAUGCUGGGGACCUGAACUGGUAGUAGCCAAGUGAUGGGGUGACGCAGGAAGGUAGCCGUGCCACGUGAUGGAUAUCGUGGUGUAAGCGUGUGGCCCGUGUUCUAGGUAAAUCCGGAGCACAUGUGGGUGAGGCGUGAUGCGUACCCGUUUUGGGGAAGUUGGUGAUCCUAUGCUGCCGAGAAAAGCCUCUAGCGAUGUGGAUAUACGGCCCGUACCCGAAACCGACACAGGUAGUCAGGUAGAGAAUACUAAGGCGAUCGGGAGAACUGUGGUUAAGGAACUCGGCAAAAUGCCCCCGUAACUUCGGGAGAAGGGGGGCCAUGACUGGUGACCGACGUGGUUGAGCUGGUUGUGGCCGCAGAGAAUAGAGGGAAGCGACUGUUUACUAAAAACACAGGUCCGUGCGAAGACAUUGAAGUCGAUGUAUACGGACUGACGCCUGCCCGGUGCUGGAAGGUUAAGAGGACCUGUUAGACCCCUUUUGCGGGUCGAAGCGGAGAAUUUAAGCCCCAGUAAACGGCGGUGGUAACUAUAACCAUCCUAAGGUAGCGAAAUUCCUUGUCGGGUAAGUUCCGACCUGCACGAAUGGCGUA
rnacentral:rRNA from 1 species